UACGAAGGGGGCUAGCGUUGCUCGGAAUUACUGGGCGUAAAGCGCACGUAGGCGGCUUUCUAAGUCGGGGGUGAAAUCCUGGAGCUCAACUCCAGAACUGCCUUCGAUACUGGAAAGCUCGAGUCCGGGAGAGGUGAGUGGAACUGCGAGUGUAGAGGUGAAAUUCGUAGAUAUUCGCAAGAACACCAGUGGCGAAGGCGGCUCACUGGCCCGGUACUGACGCCUGGAGGUGACGAAGCGUGGGGAGCAAACAGG
rnacentral:rRNA from 1 species